GCCGGAAAGCUCAGUGGAGAGCAGCAGUACUU
rnacentral:tRNA from 1 species